UAAAUAUUUUUCCAAUGUUUUUUUUUUUUUUAGCAUUGUUUUUAGCUCAAACAAAUUAUUUCAAAAUAAUCAUAGUAAAGAAACAUCCUGGUGAAAAAAAGAUUGAUUGAUUUUUAGUGUUAACCACCACUUUCAGCAAUAUUGAUUAUAUCUUGGUGACCAUUUUUUUAAUGGUUGAGAAAGUCAGAGUAAUGGGAGAGAACCACCAAGGUGCUAAAUAUUUUUUGUAAAUGUUUGAAUAUUUUAUAUCAAAUUAUUUAUUUUUAAUUAUAGCUCUACCAUUUUGUAUUUUUGUUAGAUAUAGCAAUGAUGUGGAGUCCCAACAGGUGAAAUUUUUGGCAAUGGGAGGUAAUAAAUUAUUCCCCUGUUUAACUCCUCAUUCUUGAAAUUUCCUCAUGGUAGGGAAUAUAUAACUAUUUACUUGAUUUUCACAUUUGUUUUUGCUUUGAUAUCAGAUGCAUACUAGCUAAUACAAAAAAAUGUAUUGACUGUUAUUCAGAGUUCUGUAAAUAAAAAAAAUGUAAACAGAGGUCUAGAUAAUAGUUUUGAGGGUGGGAGAAAUCAUGGGUCAUUACGGGUAGAAUUGAUUUGGUGAAAUUUUCAAGAUAUGUGAUUAAUUGAGAGUGCAUCUGAUAUUUUUUAUUUAUUUCUAUAAAUAAUGGACCAAAAACUGAAAGAUUGCAAUUAAGAUAAUGAUGACAGCCACCCUGGCAGCCAGGAGAGCAGCUCAAAGGAAGAUGGUCAAUAAAAUCUUCAACCAAGUCUGAGGCUUAACCAUGAAAUUGAGAAGGCAAGUUUAUUGAAGUCAAACAAUUUCUAUACAUUUUCUAGAAAUACAUGUGUAUAAUUGUUAAAAAGUACAUAUUCAUCUUUAUUUUCUGCAUGAAAAACAUCUUUGAAGAAUUUAUUUACAAGUUUAAUAUUUUGAGAUAGCAGGUACAUUAACAAGAAUUUCUAUUACAAUUACGAGAGUAAAUCCUGAGAUAGGAAUCAACUUUCAAGGGGAGACUAGUUUAAUUAACAGCAAGAUUUGUUUAUUCAAUGGGAGACAACUCAUUUUCAUUAUUCAAAGUAGUUGAGUGCAGAAUUCAAAUCAUAAACCUUUGACUAUUUUUGUUUGUUUUUCAAUCUUUUAUAUAAAUAUUACAAAAUAUGUGAAUGUUAAACUAUUGGUACAUGAAGUAAGAAAUCAGAACAAUUUGUAAAGUAAUCUUUAGGUUGACAUAUAAAUUAGUUUGUAAAAUUAAUAAAUGUAUUAAUUUCUUUUUAGAUACUUUCUGUGGCAUGUUUUCAUGGUGUGGGAAUAAGACUUGGUGGUCUAAUACAGCUAAUAUGUAGGUAGGUACCAGUAAUAUUAAUCCUGUUUAAAAGAAAAUAAUUCUAUAAAUAAUAUUAUUUGGAAAUAAAUACUGACUUUAGGGUUAAAGGUUUAUAAGAGUUUGGUCAACAGUAUACUCUUUAUUUUAUCAGUACCAUAUAUGACAAUGUUCACUUGGCAAAAUAUGGCCUUAGUAUAGAUUUUAAAUUUCAGCCUUUAUCAUAGAAUAUCAAAAAAUGCCCCAUCUGGUUCUUCAAUGGAUAUCUUUCAAAAGACUUAAUGCAACAUAAAAUAAAUCGCUUCUUUAUAAUACAUUGUAGACUCUAUAAUUAACUAUAUUGGGAGAUAUCAUCAAAAUGCGAUGAUUUUAUGGAUUUUCUGACCUAAAAGCUUUAAGAAUACCUUUGGUCCAAAAUGUUUAAUAAACUAAAGGUGCUAAGGGUAAUAUUUAAAUUACAAGACAUAAACUAUUUCUGGAUCAGGGAAAGUGAAUUAUGCUAAAAAAAGUUCUGAAUUGUGAAAAAUUGGGCCUUCAUUGGCGCUUUUGCGAAAACAGCAGAAUUGCAUAAUCAACAGGUCAUAACUUAGUAGUUUAUAUUGUGAGGUGCCAAAAAGAUGAUGUGGUUAUUUUGUAUCAAUAAUGAUACCACAACAAUGUAUAUGUCAAAUUUGUAGUUUUUGGGCCUGAAUCAAAAAAGAUUAAAAUCUUGUGGCCAACUUUAGCUUUUUUAAACCUACCCCUUAUAGGAUUGAAUUGGGUUGUUGGUUUGAUGUCUAUUAUUAUAUAUUUUACCCAUUUUAUAUACCUGUAACGUAGAUAGAGUAUUCCAGAAGUGAUCCUUUAAAACAAUUUUGAUUGACUAAGCAUUUUAUAUUUCAGGUUAGCACUACAGCUUGUCUGUAAGGAUUGAAGCUGGGAAAGGGCCAUUGGAGCUGAAUUUUAUGGUAAGAACUAAAAAAUAGAUUGAACUAUUCAUCCAAGAGUAUGUAAAUGCACCAUGGAUUUUAUUAUGUACACAUGUAGAUCUAACAUUUUUAAAAUGUUUUCCAAAUUAAAAGUUUUAAUUAUACCGGUAAUCAUAAGGGUAUAUAAGAAUAAAGAGAGGUUAUAAGAUUGCCAACUACACAACUAUCAAUAAGAGAAGCAACUUACAGUCACCGUAAGACUUCAGCAAUGAGCAAAAUCAAUUACAGUCAUCUCAUGCAUAACACAUUCAGAUUAGCAAUGAGCAAAAUAAUCAAUAAUUACAUAUGAAAUAUGUUGAAAUCACAAUAGUGAAUAUCAUUCAUUCAUUAUUCAUCAUCUCAUAACAUAACUUUGAUUUUUAGAUUUUUAUUGAAAUCUGGUAAUCAUAGUAAUAUUAAUCUUGCAUUUUUGUCUUAUUCUUUAUUAAAAAAUCACAAGAAUAGAUGCAUGCAAUAAUUUCUGAUUUACAGUACCAGUUUUAAAGUAAGCAAUAAGAGGUACUGAAUAUGACAAAAUGUGAAACAAUUUUAAACACGAAAACCAACGCAAUGAUUCAUAAAAAAGAAUAAACGAAAAUUAAUCAAGACACACAUUGAUUACUUUUUCGUCCUUAUUUGCUAAUAAUUGUAUCAGAUGAUGUUUAAAUUUUUAUAUAGGUUUGAUCAUUUGUUUAAGAAUGUUUAUUUCUUUUACAGGAAACUCUGGCUGCCGCAUACAUUGAUUAUGUGAUAUAACAGUGAAGAAUGUUAGUCAGAAAUUUUUUGUAUAUGUUUCAAAAAAUGUAAUUUUUUACAACAAAAAAAAACAAAAAAAAAAUGUGUAAAGAUUCUCCAUUUUCAACUAGAUUGGAAGCUUGUAUUUAAAAUUUCAAAAUUACUCUUACUUUUCUUAUCGUGCUUAUGGAGACUGUUUCAUAAUUUAGAUCUUAUUCGUUAUUCCCCACCCCCUGUAACUGUAUUUCAUUUUUACUUUGAAAAUGAAAUGAAACAGACCAAUUUUACUUGUAAACUUAAUAAUGGUCUGUCUAGUCCAAAGGCUUCCAGUCAGUUCAGAAUGGAGAAUCUAAAAAAAAAAAAAAAAAAAAAAAAAAAAAAAAUGUAUUGUGUUUUUUGAGUUUCCUGAAUUGUUAGAUAUUUUUACAACUUUUUGUUAUUUUUUUGCAGUGCUUUUAGCUAAACAAAUUACAAUUAUUUCACAAGAAGCAGAGUAAAGGAACAUAUUGGUGAAAAAAGAUUGAUUGAUUGAAUUUUGGUGUAUAAUGCCACUUUCAGCCCAAUUUGUAAUAUCUUGAUGGCCAUUUUUUAUGGGUUGAAAAAGUUAAAAGUAACAGUAGAUACCCACCAACUUUUCCCCCAGGGAACUGUCAAUUCUAGUCAAUUAAGCUUUGAGUCAAACACACCUACCACAGGUUGGGUUUGAAUUCUCAACCUCAUUUUGACAUGCUAGAGAUACAAUAAUACUUCUUAGACCACUGCCACUAAGGCCCUUAGGUAAAAGUUAAAAGUACUAAAUUAGUUUUUGAAAUGUGUUGUAGUUUUUACAUACCGUAUUAUUUUUUCAUUUUAAUUAUACUAUAUUUUGUAUUGUUGUUAAAUAUAGGAAGGAUGUGGAGUCUCGACAGGGUCAUAUUUUCAAGGCAAGGGGAGGUAAUUCCCUUGUUAUACUCCUCAUACUUUAAAUUUCCUAAGUGUUUAUAGGGAAUAUAACUUUUUUUAUUUAAAUAUUCACUUUUUGUACACAUUUUCUUUAAAUAUCAGAUGUAUACUAGCUAAAAUGACUAUUAUUUAGAGCUCUGUAAAUAAAAAAAAAUAUGUAAGCAGAGCUCUAUAUAUAGAUAAUAGAUUUGGAGGGUUUGAGAAAUAGUGGGUAACUACAAUUGAUGAGGGGAAAUUUUCAAAAAAACUGAUUUUGUUAAAACUGUAAAGUGCAUCUGAUAUUUUUUUUUUAUACAUGUAUAAUGUUAUUUCUGAAAGCAAAUGGACAAUAAGAUAAUGAGGACAUGGACCUCCUUGGCAGUUAUGAUAGCAGCUCUAAGGAAGAUGGUCAAUUAUAUCUUCAACCAAGUCUGAGGCUUUACCAGGAAAAAUCUGUGGUGAGUUGAAAUGUUCCACAAAAUUUAUAAUAAUAUUAUUAUAGACUUUUAAAACUUUUUAUUUAUUAAGGGUUUUUGUGUGAUAUUGAAGAUAUCUGCAUCAUUU
rnacentral:lncRNA from 1 species